CGGUUAAGGGAGAUUUUGUCGUUAUUCCUUUACUGUACUAUUCAUAAGAACAUACAAUUCCGAGCUUCCACAAUGCAACAAACGCACUGUUGUGAGCUGCGGUUACAGAUAAAGAUGGAAUUAUUUAUUUUUUAAAAAACGCUAGGUAUUUACGUUUCCUAAUAGCUUUUCCGUUUAUAAGUAAGUCGUAUAAACCGAACGACUAAAACGUUCAUCAAAGGAGGACGAAAACCGCUGACGUGAGAAUCGUCAUCCGAGUAUCGGGAUCAGCCCAAUUUCGUGUCAUACGUUAGAGUUAUCUGACGCCAGCAACCUUCUGCUAUCUGAAAUCAUUGGCAAUUUAGCGCUGUUGCGUUUUCGAUGACACACAGCGCUGGCCCACGAUUUUAAUAGUAACGAGCCGCUUUAUAGUCAGAAUAACAUGGUUACUGCAGAUUGUUCCUGAGGCACACCGGGGCUCUCGCUUAUUUCGAAAGUCUGUUUCAUCCGCCCAUUGGUUCCGCCCUUGUUUAUCCCUGAUUUUGUGUACUUCACACAGCCAACAGACGACAAAAGAGUACGUACCCCCCUGCCUCACUGCUUCUCUUUUUGAAAACAUCCCCUUAUCGAUGUUCGACGAGCACACAGCCAGCCAAUUGGCCGUCUGCAGCUACAUAAUUCUGACCGGUUUGUCGUAGGCAAGCAGCAUUCCUCAGCCUGCCCGGAUGCUGCGGCCGUUAACUUCGUAAUAGUUUUGGUUUAGGGUUUGCGUCUCUUAGAGCGGCAGAAGUCGAACUGUAAUCGAGUUAACCGAGUGCCUGCCGGUGGUCGGGCAGUACCAACUCAACUGGAAGAACGUCGGGAUUUUGCCAAAGGUUCCGUUAGAUGAAAGCCUGUCGUCGUUGCCAGACGACAAUGAUACUACAAACGACUGCGUAAAAAAGUACUAAGCCGUGACUGAGUGAACAGAGUGGCGCCUGCCCUUUACAUCUCUUGUUUGUACUGCUAGCUCUAUUUCUUACCGCAGUCUGUUCUUGCUGUUAUUGCGGUUGUUGUGCUAGCGUCUGCUAGCAGAAAUCUUUCUCUAAAAUUCGUCUGGCGCGGGGAUCAAGAGACCGGAAGAAACUUGGCAGCAGACGGCGCGGAACGCUAUAUUAGCCUUUUGAAGAAAGACAUUCAUUCUUUUCAAGUGUGAAUCUUGGUGAGGAUGUACGUCGUGGGCAUAUUGGAUUUAGGCGCUCUGCCUAUGGGACGAGAGAUCUCAUCGUGUCCAUUUGUAAUGUAAUGCUUUGCUAUAAACGGGCAUAAAGCACACAUGUGUCCGCCUUACUUCUAACGCGUGAAGAGGCAAACCGAGAAACAAAAUGGGACACGAAAGCCGGCGUGAACAUUUUAACACAAAUAGGCUUUGAUCGCCUGGUCGAAGUUAACCGAAGGCCAAAAAUCCCAAACGCUGCAACGGGAACUUACGCCGAUAGACGUAAUCGGCGCGGACCUUCAUCAAUAUGAGUACACGAAGUAAAGUAGUCGCUACUGAAUCGACGCGAUAAAAAUAAAGGGACACUGGUGCCAUGAAACUAAUUACCAAAGUAUACUGCAUCCGUUUGACAUACUUGCCAUAAGAAAAACUGGGACAUGCUCGGCCAGAGACCAACGCCAUUUCAUGUCAUGAGACGUCACGGCAGUUAGUUGCUUACUCAUCACUUCGCUCUCUCGCUGAUAGCCCCUCUCGUAGUUUGCCCCUGGGCGUCAGCCUCAUUGCGCAGCGAUUCCCUAUGAGCGAUGACGACACGCCUUGGUAGCAACAACAGCAGAGACACCACCACAAUUAGACGUAAGAGCGAGAUAAGUACAAUGUAAGCGGAUGUACGUAGACGAAAAAUGCUGACGGUCGGUUACCGUUGUCGUCAAAGUCAUCGUCGUGGGUAAUCAGGAGUACAAGGUGCACCACGAUUACAAAGUAACACGAAAGCGGGUACCGACUUUGCUCCCUGGCUAGGGCCAUAGCUAAUGUGUGCCAACGAACUUAACUGAUCGAGAGAUUUCGUGAAACAAAUAUUGGCUGGUGCAACCCAUCAUGAAGGAUAUAUAUAUGGAGAGAUAGAGAAAGUGGGUGUUCGCGUAACCCGACUGACAAAACUGUGCAAAACAAUAUAACCUUUAUAAAAAGGGAGACAAGGUCCGCGUAUGGCGUCCUAAUGUUAACCGUGCUGCCGCGCGCAAAAAUACGUGUAUGUUCUAUUUAUAUUGUUGUUAUAUUAUAGAACUUAAAACUGUGUGUAUAGGCACGUGUACAAGAAGGACCAUCAUGUACACUCAUGUUUCAGUGGGCGUAUUUAGCGUAGUAUUGGGCGUAUAGUGAUUGGUCACCAUAGCGGCCGUACAAAACGCUAAAAAUUUUGAUUAUGCUAAGUGAUACGGGUGUGCAGGUACAGCGACACUAUGCAGUCAAGACCUUGUAAAAACCGCAUCAAAAUAACCAGUUAAUUUAUUAUAUGGAA
rnacentral:lncRNA from 1 species